UUAAUUGAAGAGUUUGAUCAUGGCUCAGAUUGAACGCUGGCGGCAGGCCUAACACAUGCAAGUCGAGCGGCAGCACAGAGGAACUUGUUCCUUGGGUGGCGAGCGGCGGACGGGUGAGUAAUGCCUGGGAAAUUGCCCGGUAGAGGGGGGAUAACCAUUGGAAACGAUGGCUAAUACCGCAUAACCUCGCAAGAGCAAAGCAGGGGACCUUCGGGCCUUGCGCUACCGGAUAUGCCCAGGUGGGAUUAGCUAGUUGGUGAGGUAAGGGCUCAC
rnacentral:rRNA from 1 species